rnacentral:lncRNA from 1 species
UUUUUCCCAUGAAUUCCUACCCAUGGACCAUUGUCUAGAUCAAAUCUUCUUUGAGGAGGUGGAGAGGGUUUACACCUCCCUUUUUUAUUUGUUUUGGGAAGAAUGAUAUCUCGGUCAAUAUCAUUGUCGUGCAUCCAGCAGUCACAAUCUGGGUCACAUCUUGUAGGAUCAACAUCCCAGAUGAAGUGGCCAUCUAUUUUAUCAGUGUAGAUGGGUUUUCCUUCUGCUGUAACAGCAUGGACAGGACACCAG